CACCGGCUUUGUACCGCAUAAGCGGCGAGUGAAGCGCAAGACUCAGAUUUGAAAUCGUGCUUUCGGGCACGAGUUGUAGAUUGCAGGUUGGAGUCUGUGUGGAAGGCGGUGUCCAAGUCCCUUGGAACAGGGCGCCCAGGAGGGUGAGAGCCCCGUGGGAUGCCGGCGGAAGCGGUGAGGCCCUUCUGACGAGUCGAGUUGUUUGGGAAUGCAGCUCCAAGCGGGUGGUAAAUUCCAUCUAAGGCUAAAUACUGGCGAGAGACCGAUAGCGAACAAGUACUGUGAAGGAAAGAUGAAAAGCACUUUGAAAAGAGAGAACAGCACGUGAAAUUGUUGAAAGGGAAGGGUAUUGCGCCCGACAUGGGGAUUGCGCACCGCUGCCUCUCGUGGGCGGCGCUCUGGGCUUUCCCUGGGCCAGCAUCGGUUCUUGCUGCAGGAGAAGGGGUUCUGGAACGUGGCUCUUCGGAGUGUUAUAGCCAGGGCCAGAUGCUGCGUGCGGGGACCGAGGACUGCGGCCGUGUAGGUCACGGAUGCUGGCAGAACGGCGCAACACCGCCCGUCUAAAAAAAAAGGGAACAAGGGGGGGGGGGGGGGGGCCCCCUUUUUUCUCCCCUUUUAAAAUAUUAAAAAAAAAAAGAGAG
rnacentral:rRNA from 1 species